rnacentral:lncRNA from 1 species
UUUUUUUUUUUUAUUUUAUGACCACAUCCAGGGCAUUGGAAAGUUCCUGGAUUAGUCCAACAUUGUCUGGUUGGACAUUUAAUUUGAAUGUAUUUAAUUGUGUGUUAAAUUAGAAUAUUUCUAUAUGCUUGAUUAUAUGUAAUAAGACAGUUUUGGAAAAUCUAUUAUUUUGCCUAUUACUUAUUUUACUAUAUUUUUUUAAGAUUGACAAGAGAAAUCUGAUUACACUUGAAAGUUAUGCUUUUCACUGGUAUAUGACUUGUAAAUAUACUUUAUCAAUUUGUCUCAUAAUUUCUUAUUGACUUUGCUGCUACUUGGAGAAUAUAAGGGCACAUAAAACAAUUUGACCAGUUUUUGGCAUACAGAUAGAUAUGAACAAAUAAUUAUUUUUUUAUUUCUAUCUUCUCUUACUUGAAGUGAGAGUAGAGAAUACUUAAGAUUUAUAUCACAAAAAUUCUAUGUAUUCUAAAUUUCAGGUAUGACUUGGAGCUUCCUGUGUUCAUUUUCUAAAUCCCUGGUCCUAAUCUUUAAAUCUGAAAUGUAAAAGAAUGUUCUUAUUUCUGGAAAAUAUACUCCUUCUAUAUUUCCUUCAUGUUAGAUUCAGUGAGUCCAUGAGUCUUAAGAAAACAUAUUGAAAGAUUUAGAAAAAACAAUGACAAGCAGGGUCAAUUUAACUUUGGACAACACAGUAUACUUUAAAGGUUAUAAAUUUUAAUAAUAGAAGAUGAAUUUACUUAAGAACAACUAGAAAAUUUUGCAAAAUAAAAAUAAAUAAUCUUAGUCAAGGCAAAAGAUUAAAAUAAAUCUCAUGAUGGCUUAAGGACAGUUGCUAAAAGGCAUCCAAGUACAGCAUUUACCAAAUCAUUCAGGUCUUUUUUUGAAUCCUAGUUGAGUGCAGUCUUCAUCAAAGUAGAAAUAGAUUUUGCUCAGCUUCUUAGAAGUUACAUUAGAGCUGCAACCUUCCCCUUUGGGUGAUGGACUCAGGCUAUGAGCCAUCUGAGUAGCUAACACAAGGCACAGACUUACAUCAUUCUAGUUGAGCCCUUGAGGCUGACUCUCCACUGACAGAGGUGUCACUCCCUAAUGUAGUGAAUUUCCAUCCACCUACUUUAAUAUUAGUGUGUUCCCAGGGGUAAGACCAUAACUGGGCCAGAUCAACACGCAGAAAUAUAGAUCACAGUAUUAACCACUUACAAUGUUUCCUGCACUAUGAUCUAUACCUCAAUUACAGAAUGGCCACAAGUUAUAUCACCCAAUAAAGUCAUAUGCUACUUAACAUGCAGUGCUUUGUCUCCUUCCUGCUGGAAAAUUUAUCUUUAAAGUUUAAGUAGUUUAGGAGAUGGGAUUAAGAUGGUGGAAUAGAAGCACUGGGCUCAAAUUCUCUCAUAAAAACAACAAAAUUUACAAACAGAUGCUGAGCAAUCUUCAACCAAAUGGACAGGAAACUUUCAAAAAUGUAUCCUACUCUGGAAGACAAAGAGGAGGACACAUCAAGAGGUAGGAGGGGCAAUUAUGCAAUAUGAGCAACCUCAUACCUCCUAGGUUGGAAGCCCUAGAGACUGAAAAGUAACUGUUUCAUGGAGACUCACCUACACAAGUGAGAAUUCUGAGCCCCACAUCAAACUCCCAAGUGUGGGGAUCUGGCACUGGGAGAAAGAGCCCCCAGGGCAUCUGGCUUUGAAGGCCAGAGGGGCUUGUGGGCAGGAGCUCCAUGGGACUGGGGGAAAUGAAGAUGCAAUUCUUAAAAGGUGCAUACAGACAUUCACAUGCACUGGGUCCCAGGCAAAGCAAAGUCUCCAUAGGAAUCUGUGUCAAAUCUGACUGCAAUUCUUGGAGGUCCUACUGGGAAAGCAGGGGUGAAUGUGGCUUGUUGUAGGGGAAGGUAACUGGAAGCAAAGCUCUUAGGAAUAUUCAGCAGCAUGCCUUUCUCUGGAAGUGACCAUUUUUGGAAAAUCUGACCCCACCCAUCAGUGCUGAGAAGCCCCAGGCCAAACAACAAUCCAGGUGGGAUCACAGGCCCACCCAUCAGUAAACUAGCUGCUUAAAGACCCUCUAGGCACAUGACCACCUCUAAUCUCACCAAAGACAGGGCCCCACCCACCAUAGGAUAGGAAUAACUAACACCUACCAGUGGGCAGGCAUCAUUCCCUCCCAUCAGGAAGCCUACAGCAAGCCCCCAUACCAACUUCAGCUGCAAGGGGCACAGAUACCAGAAGUAAGAAAGCCUAUGACUCUAUUAUCUGUAAAUAGGUCACCACACAAAAAACCAUAAAAAUGAAAAGACAUACAACUAUAACUCAGAUUAGGGAGAAAGAAAAAAAAAAACCCACAAAAUCAGCUAGGUGAUCAGGAGAGUCUCAGCAUCCAGGAGAAAGACUUUAGACUGUUGAUGCUGAAGAUGAUACAAGACAUUGGAAGUAAACUGAAGGCAAAGAUGGAUAACUUACAGGAAACACUGAGCAAAGAGGCACAAGAUGUAAAACUUAAACAAGAAGAGAUGCAAAAUACAAUAACUGAAAUAAAAAAUUCACUAGAAGCAGCUAACAGUAGAAUACAGGAGGCAGAAGAAUGAAUAAGCGAGGAGGAGGACAGAUUAGUGGAAAUUAUGGAUGUAAAAAAAGAUUGAAAACAAAUGAAGAGAGUCUCAGAGAACUCUGGGACAAUGUUAAAUUCACCAACAUCUGUAUUAUAGGGGUGCCAGAAGGAGAAGAGAGAGAAAAGUAGACAGAAAAAAUAUUCAAAGAUAUAAUAGACAAAAACUUCCCCAACAUGGGAAAGGAACCCCUCACUCAAAUCCAGGAAGCACAAUGAGUACCAUAUAAAAUAAACCCAAGGAGGGAUAACUUGAGAUGCAUAUGAAUCAAACUGACCAAAAUUAAAGACAAAGAGAAAAUACUGAAAGAAGCUAGGGAAAAGAAACAAAUAACAUACAAUGGCAUCCCAAUAAGGUUAUCAGCAGAUUUUUCAGCAGAAAAUGCUGCAGGCCGGAAGGAAGUGGCAAGAUAUGCUUAACAUGAUGAAAGGAAAAAACCUCCAACCAAGAUUACUUUACCCAGCAAGGCUCUCAUUCAGAUAUGAAGGAUAAAUCAAGUUUUACAGAUGAGCAAAAGCUAAGAGAAUUCAGCAACACUAAACCAGCCUUACUACAAAUACUAAAGGAACUUCUCUAGGAAGAAAAUAAAAGGCAGCAACAGAAAACAAAAAUGCCACAAAUGACAAGGCUCACUAUAUAUACAGUAAAGGUAUAUAUACAGUAAAGGUACAAAAUCAUCCAUGCACAACUAUGCCACCAAAAUCAGAAAUUGUGAGAAAAGGAGGGUACAAAUUCAGGACACUGGAGAUGCAUUUGCAAUUAAAAGACCAACAACUUAAAACAAUCUCAUAUAUAUAGACUGUUAUAUCAAAACUUCAGAAUAACUGCAAACCAAAAAUCUAAAUCUGAUACACAAACAAAUAAGAACCCCCCCCUCAAAUACAACACUAAAGAGAGUCAUCAAACCAAAAGAGGAGAGAACAAGAGAAGAAGGGAUGAAAAAAGAGCAACAAAAACUAAUCCAAAGCAAUUAAUAAAAUGACAAUAAGAACAUACAUAUCAAUAAUUACCUUAAAUGUUAAUGGACUAAAUGCUACAACCAAGAGACACUGACUGGCUGAAUGGAUUCAAAAACAAGAUCCAUAUAUAUGCUGUCUUCAAGAGACCCACUUCAUUUCUAGGGAGACAUACCAAUUGAAAGGAAGAGGAUGGAGGAAAAUAUUCCACACAAACAGGAAUCAAAAGAAAGCUGGAGUAGCAAUACUCAAAACAGACAGGAUAGACUUUAAAAUGAAUAAUAUUUUAAGGGACAAGGAAGGUCACUACCCAAUGAUCAAAGGAUCCAUCCAAGAAGAAGAUAUAACAAUUUUAAAUAUCUACACAGCCAACCUAGGUUCAGCACAAUAUAUAAGGCAACUGCUACAACAUUAAAAGGAGAAAUUGACAAUAACACAAUCAUAGUGGAGGACUUUAACACCCCACUGACAGCAAUGGACAGAUCAUCCAGACAGAAAAUCAAUAAGGAAACACAGCCCCUGAAUGAAGCAUCAGACCAGAUGUACUUAAUAGAUAUUUAUAGGACAUUCCAUCCAAAAUCAACAGAAUACAUAAUCCUCAAGUGCAUAUGGAACAUUCUCUAAGAUUGAUCACAUCCUGGGCUACAAAUCAAACCUUGGUAACUUUAAGAAAUUUGAGCAAGCAUCUUUUCCAACCACAAUGCUAUACAACUGGAAAUAAAUGAAAAAAACAAAACAAAACCUCAAAAACCACAAACACAUGGAGACAAACAACAUGCUACUAAACAACUAAUGGAUCACUGAAGAAAUCAAAGAGGAAAUUAAAAAAAUACCUAGAAGCAAAUGACAAAAAAGAUAUGACACUCCAAAACCUAUGGGAUGCAGCCAAAGCCAAUCUAAGAGGAAAGUUUAUAGCAAUACAAGCCUAUCUCAGGAAACAA